rnacentral:rRNA from 1 species
GACGUGAGGGGCGAGCGUUACUCGGAAUCACUGGGCGUAAAGGACACGCAGGCGGCCAUACAAGUCAAGUGUUAAAGACCGAGGCUUAACCUCGGGAAGGCACUUGAUACUGUAUGGCUUGGUGCUAGGGGAGGGAGGUGGAAUGCCCGGUGUAAGGGUAAAAUCUGUAGAGAUCGGGUAGAACGCCGAAGGCGAAGGCAGCCUCCUAUCCUAGUCACGACGCUCAGGUGUGAAAGAUGGGGGAGCAAACAGG